CGUAGCUCAUCGGAUUCCUCCAGCAGUAUAAAUAUUCUGAUUCUGAUUGCAUCCGAACUGCAGCAGAGCUUGCAAGCAAAGUAGCAUUGAGCCUGGAGAGGGCUCGGAGAUAGGGCAGUGGUUGUGGGUGACCCCCCCCUACCCCUUUCCUUUUGAGACAACGGAAAUUUGUAUUUUAUUUAUAUUUACCAGAUAAAAAACGUUGCGUUUUAUUUAUGCAUUAUCAUUAUUGUAGGGCCCUAUUUAAAAAGGUUGACAUUCAGAACCGCGAUGGCAUGCGAGAGAGCUGACUGUGAAGUCCUCUCGAUCCACGAGGUGUCGACGCUCUCGAUGGUGUUGGUGGGGAAUUCAGGAGUGCGACUCCUGGGGAGAUGCAGGUGUUUAUAACAACGCCGCACAGUUAUCAUUUCAGCACUCUGGGAGUAUGUCGUUAUGAUUGCAUUAAAGUUAUUUUUAAUGGCGCUCACGGUCGACUCCUUUAGACAAACAUCUCAGACAACCGCAGACGCACUCUUACCGGUAUCGUCUACACUCAAACUCAUCACUUUCGUCUGCCUUUUGUCACCAGACGCGCUUUCCUCUCUCAUUGAACGCUUGUGAACCACGAUUAACCAGCAAGUAUGUACUGUAUGAAGUAAAAGAAACCGCACAAUACGGUAACGAGUUCAGAGCGGGAUUACUGCAAGACUUGAGGACUGACAAGCGGGCAGCCGAGGUGGCGUGCAUAAUUUUCGCAUCUUCAAAUCUUAUCUUAAAUCAUCUUAUCUUAUACUUACAAGAAGUAGUCGGUUUUCCCGGGGGGGAAAAAUAUUUUAAAAUUGUAUUCUCUUGAAAAAUAUAACAUACGCAAAUAUUGUACAAAAAAUGUUAUGUUUUGAGGAGAAUACAAUAUAAACUGUAAUGCUAAAAACGAAAUGCAACUGUGACCAUAAAACCCAAACGAUGGACCAGAUAAUAAAACACUGUGGUCUGCGUCUCUUCAAUGGAGGAAUAACAGGACGAUAUGAGCUCUCUCCUGAAGCCCUUUCGUUGCUAGCAGAACUCAACAUUGAUAUUUAUAGCUCCCCAACAUAGUGCCAAACGUAAGUAGAAGACUAAAACAUAUAUAACUGCACUUUAUUUCAUUUCAUACUUAUUUAGUGCCUUUAACACGACACAAAACUGCCCCUUACGCCCAGCAUGCCGACGAAGGGGAGACCCCCCCCCCCCAUCAUGAUCAUCGUGAUGUUCCAGGAUGAUCGUAGAUCCGCGGGUCGUGUGGCCCAGAUAAAGAGCAGCCCCACGCGCGCGUCGGAGCAAUCCACCUGCCGACGACGCGAGAACAACGUCGUGCGGGCGGCGCCACAAACAACCACCGGCAGAGACACAGAUCGCUGAGAGAACACCCGGCAAUUACUACAGGCAAGGGCGCCGUAAAGGGGUGGAAGGUUAGGACGAUUCUAAGGGCCCAGGCUGAUUUAGGGCCCAGAAGAGCAGACCCCCUUUUUUUUUCUUAUUUCUUUUCUAUGUUUUAUACAUACAUUAAAUGUGCUAGGGCCCCUCAUGCACUAAAUGUGUAUUUUGUCCGUUUUGACCAUAGAUUUAAUAUUUAAAAAAACAAAUAAUGUAUUUACUGUUUCAGUCACACCCCUCCCCCUCACAAUGGUUCAUUCCACCUGCGCUGUCCGAGGUACGAUCGCUAGUGUAGCGUCUCUUGCUUAUUGCACUUGCUAUGAUGCAGUGCAGACAGUGACACACGCAGGCAUGUCACAUCAAAAGUCAGGGCAUCAAAAACGGAAAGAAAAGAAGGAAAGAGAAGACAGGGAACGCCGAAGUCGACAGUAUGUCACACAGUUUUUAAAAAAGAAAGGUAGCUUGCCCUAUUCCUGUAUUCCAAAACUUUCAGUUACUUAUUUUUGUUGCUACAUGACCUGCUUUUAUAUAGUUAGCUUAGUAAAAUAAUUACUGAAUUAUGAUUUACAUCCAACAAUAAUAACAUCUCUGCUGUCUCCGGGGUUAUCAUGUCUCGUAGACACAGAUUCAGCGGCUGCUGCACAGCCACGUCCUCCUUCCCCCACAUCCCCCGUCCCCGUCUCAGCCGAACAAGAUGCAGAGUCAGCUUUAUUGUCUGCACCUCGUUCUCCUACUAAUGACCCAGUCUUCUCAGUGUCAGAGAGUGAGCGAGGAGCAGCGAUGAGCGGUGCACAGCAGGAGCGCUCCCGAGGGAGGGGGCACCAAGGCUGCUUGAGCGAAGCAAGCUGCUGUUGACAAGGAAUGAGGAGCAAUGUGGCCACAGACCAUUCCGACUGCUGAUCGAGCCUGGCGUGCAGAGAACCUGCGAACGUGCAGUGCAGCAGCAUACGGCUAACAACGAGCGUGCUGACUCGGAAGCCCCGAGUGCCCUCCAGCGUGGGUCGAGCUUGAUGCACAAAAAAACGUGCCUGGUGUCAAUGGGGGUGAUGCGCUGCCACCUAGCAGACGAGCUGCGAGUGCUACCUGGCGACGUGGCCACAGUGCACCCCUCUGCAGACUGAGUAUGACCCAUCGACCCCUUGCCAGCGGUGAGCCAUCAGCGUGCCGACUCGACAGCCACUCCACUUGUGGACGGAGCCGGACGGACACGCAGCCCGAGUGGAUCACACGCCGUGUACCGACACACGCCCGCCGACCCAACGCGCCCUGCUGGGGUCCUGAGGUAUUUUCGCUACAAUGGAACACGGAUAUGGCAAGCCUCCCACAGAUCCCGGGACCGCAGAGUCACAGUUGGUAACACGAUCCAUGUGCAGAGAUCGUACGUGGAUGAACUCAAACCAUACUACCCGCUAUCAUUAUUGGACCUCGUGGUGGCUGCCCCUCUAACAUACACACACGACGCGCAUAGUCGGUAGGAAUAAGUUUGUUCCGCGGUGUUUUGUUUCGCAUAGGGUUGCCAUUCCAAGGUGAUGGAUGUGUUAAUUAUUAAUCGGUCGUUAAGAAACAUUGUUCUGUCCCUUAAGUUGCAUGAAUACGGUCGUUAGAAGUAUUUUAGUAUAAUCUAGAUUUGAAGCUUUCGUGACU